rnacentral:lncRNA from 1 species
GUCUGUACAGAGAACUCUGAAACAGAAAGCAAGUUAGAAGAUAAUUUCUUUUGAUUGCGUUUUGGGCAUCUGCUGUUCCAAUUGGGCUCUUUUGGAAAGAAGCGUCCAGUGGGAUGAAUGCAAUUGGGGAGUCAAGGCAGAAGGAGUUUGAUACGAUUUGGAGUUCCAGGACUUGCUGAACUCACCCCUGGUGCUUUAGCUUUGGGAACAUUAAAUCCUUGCAGAUUGUUCUCCUACAACCUGUAAUGGUUUCUCUGGUGGUCAGUUCUGAAGACCAGGCUCCCACCUUUGGCUGCAUCUCCUGUAUUUCACUGCACUCACUGAUGUCCCUGCUCCGUGCACAUCAGAAGACACGCACGCUGAAACUGCCAUGCCUCUUCUAACAUCAGGGAAGAGACCAGGGUACAUCAUGCGUUAGCUCAGCUCUCGUGGGAACAGCAGGAUCAGUUGUUCAGAUGUCUUGAAGCCAUCUGCCAUGGGUACCUGAGGUUGCUGUCUACGCUGGGAGUCUCCCACGGGGAAACAGAAAAUAAAAAUUGUUUUUCACCAACAGCUGCUUUCCACUUCCAUGUUAAUAAUGCAUGAUGGGCCUCUGGAAAGAUGGGGGGUGAGCACCAGCCCCCUGCCCCCUGCCUGUCCAUCUCCUCCCCAUGGGAUGGGUGCACACAGACACAGCAUCUCUCCAGAGCCUGCCUGUUCUGCUUGCUGCAGCACCAUGACUGCCCCGUGCCCUCUGGGAUUGUCUUCUACAACAGGGGAAAAGAAGAGGCUGGAAAUAUUUGAGGAAAUCUUGAAUGGAU